AAAAAGGGGUGGACCAGCAGUAUCGAUUUCGAAAUGUGAAAAAAAAGUAUGAUAAAACGGUAGAUGAGUCAUAUGGAGAGAAAUCAAUCACAGUAGCUGUUGGUUUUUAUUCACUUGCUUUCUAGAGAUACAGAUAGAUAUAUCUAGGCACAGCAUAACAAUCCUUGCUUCCUGGGGUUCACUGUGGAAGAAUAAAGUGUCACAAAACAGUGGAACAUCUGCAAUGAAACAGCAGUUGCCACUCUACAUCAUGUUGUGCUACAGUAUUCAGAUAACGGUAAAUAUUGUUAAAGGCCACAAGAAUUUUUCUGGAGAAGGAUUGAAAUGAAAAUUGGAGCUGCUGUUGGAGAAAAAUCUAGUGAAUGCUUAAAAGAUCUUGCCAGACCACCUGAGUCAAAUUCUGGAGCAGGACUGGUGAGAAAUGAAAAUUUGAGUAAGGAUCAUCAAACAGACGAUACGGCCGUUUCGAGGAUUUACUACACGCUCGGCAAAGGAAAUGUACUGUAUAAUGCGGCUUUGCAUAUCUGGGGGUUACAUUGAAGGCAAGCUGUAUCAAGAGAAGAUGGAAACUACGCUGGCGCAAGAAGAAAGCAGUCGAGAAGAAGUUGUAGAGAAUAGUUGAAAAUUUUUGUAUAUUCAUCUGGUUUUAUAGAAUCUUUGGAACGUGGACAAUCGAAAUGUGGAUGAGCUGAAACCAAUAUCGGAAAAGCUAGAAAUUACGCACACAGUAGAGUUUAUUAUUUAAUCAUAAAAUGGAUAAAAUUCAUAAAAGUUGAAGAUAUUGUUGAAAAUUCGAGUAUACAAUUUGAAAACUGCAGUACAUAAAUUCGCACAAACCCUUUUUUAUUUUUUUAGAAAAAGUAAAAACACAUUGAAAACAAAUAAAGAAUGAUAGCUAUAAUAGUAAG